GUGCACUCAACCCAAGCCAGGUGGUAUCUGCCUUUAAAAUAUGUUGACUUACAAUGGCUGUUAAUAGCAACCUCGUCAGUAGAGUACACAGUCUGCUGUUUAUACAGGUUGCCCUUAUGGACCCUGAUGAUAGCC
rnacentral:snoRNA from 1 species